rnacentral:rRNA from 1 species
GACGAACCGUGCGAACGUUGUUCGGAUUCACUGGGCUUAAAGGGCGCGUAGGCGGACAAUCAAGUCAGGGGUGAAAGCCUCCCAGCUCAACUGGAGAAGUGCCUUUGAUACUGACUGUCUCGAGGGAGGUAGGGGCAUGUGGAACUUCCGGUGGAGCGGUGAAAUGCGUAGAUAUCGGAAGGAACGCCGGUGGCGAAAGCGACGUGCUGGACCUCUUCUGACGCUGAGGCGCGAAAGCUAGGGGAGCAAACGGG